GUUCCUGAACAUUACCAAGACUACUAUUUUGCCAAAAUGGGAGCAUAUAUUAAAGAAUCUCGAUCUAGGAAAUCCGGUUUGGUACUCGAGGCUUUGGAUCAGCUACAAGGGGAAGAAAGAGAGAAAAGUCUUGCAAAGAUAAUGCCCACGAACAUGUCUUUCAAUAAGUGAGAGACGUUUGUGAAACGUGUACGAUCGCCUGAAUUCAGAGUCAAAAAGCUCAAAAUGCAAGAAUUUCGUUCAAAGCAUAACACCCCUCACACGAUUGGCCGACAAGGUUACGCCCGACUGGAGGUUAAGAUGCAAAAAGAUCUGAACACAACUGAAUAGAUUGAUAAAGCUGAUUUAUGGGUAACGGGUCACAAACAGCGUGAAGGAAAGGAACCAAAUCCUUGUGUUCUAAGUGCUUUUAAGCUCAAGUGCAGCAUGGUUCUCAUAGUGGAUCUUCCUUGACAUUCGAUGUUCUUACAAAUGCUCUUGGUGAAGAUAAAAGGGUAAGACUUAAAUGCAUGGGGUUUGGAGCGACACGUAAAAAUAUUGCAGCCAAUACCCAUUGUAAGUUGAUCAUUCAAGAGUGUCAAGAAAGUUGUAGAUCAAUGAAUGAUCGUCUUGUGAUGUUAGAGGAAAAAAGCUCAAAGUGUGUAUGCGCUGAAGUAUACUCUCACAUGGGCAGUCCAGUUACAAGCAACAACAUGGCUAGUACUAGCAGAGUUGUUCCCUGCAAUGGAAAAGCCUCAACUCCCACUACUAGUCAUGUCAGCAGAUCAAGUGAUGUGAAAGUGCCAAAAAGAUUUACACCUUGUCGGUUACUAAGUUGGUACCAGGAAGGAGAGGUGGUGGCUGAUGCGAAAAUUAGUGAAACGGAUCCGACGCAUGAGAUACAUGGGAGGCCAAUAGUUUUUGGAGCCUACACUGUGUGUGUAUUGAUUUCUCAUGUUGAAGGUGCUCAUGUCUACAAGCCAACUUCAGAGUUCAAGUAUGUUGUUGAUGCUGUCGGAAGUAUUAUCUCAUGGCCCAAAGAUCGAAUUGUGUUCUCAUAGACAUGUUAUCUUAUCUUUAACUUUUUGGUGUGUGUUCAGGAAACUUUUAACUUCUGGUAACAAACAUCUAUAUCUCUGCCAUUUUUUGAAUGUGUGUGUUUAACACUAGCAGGUGAACUUGAAUGAAUGUAAUAUGUUACACUGGUAGGUUUAAUGUGAAUGUGAAUUACU